UACAGGGGGGGCAAGCGUUGUUCGGAAUUAUUGGGCGUAAAGAGCUCGUAGGUGGCUUGUUGCGUCUGCCGUGAAAGCCCGUGGCUUAACUACGGGUCUGCGGUGGAUACGGGCAGGCUAGAGGCUGGUAGGGGCAAGCGGAAUUCCUGGUGUAGCGGUGAAAUGCGCAGAUAUCAGGAGGAACACCGGUGGCGAAGGCGGCUUGCUGGGCCAGUUCUGACGCUGAGGAGCGAAAGCGUGGGGAGCGAACAGG
rnacentral:rRNA from 1 species